UACGUAGGGGGCUAGCGUUGUCCGGAAUCAUUGGGCGUAAAGCGCGUGUAGGCGGUUUGGUAAGUCCGCUGUAAAAGUCAAAGGCUCAACCUUUGAAUGUCAGUGGAUACUGCCGGGCUAGAGUCCGGAAGAGGCGAGUGGAACUCCUGGUGUAGCGGUGGAAUGCGCAGAUAUCAGGAAGAACACCAACGGCGAAGGCAGCUCGCUGGGACGGUACUGACGCUGAGACGCGAAAGCGUGGGGAGCGAACAGG
rnacentral:rRNA from 1 species